rnacentral:tRNA from 1 species
CCGCCCUUAGCUCAGUUGGAUAGAGCGACUCCCUCCUAAGGAGUAGGCCGCAGGUUCAACUCCUGCAGGGCGGACCA